UAGGACCCAGACGGAACCAUGGAAGCCCCAGCGCAGCUUCUCUUCCUCCUGCUACUCUGGCUCCCAGAUACCACCGGAGAAAUUGUGUUGACACAGUCUCCAGCCACCCUGUCUUUGUCUCCAGGGGAAAGAGCCACCCUCUCCUGCAGGGCCAGUCAGAGUGUUAGCAGCUACUUAGCCUGGUACCAACAGAAACCUGGCCAGGCUCCCAGGCUCCUCAUCUAUGGUGCAUCCACCAGGGCCACUAGCAUCCCAGCCAGGUUCAGUGGCAGUGGGUCUGGGACAGACUUCACUCUCACCAUCAGCAGCCUGCAGCCUGAAGAUUUUGCAGUUUAUUACUGUCAGCAGGAUUAUAACUUACCUCCCACAGUGAUUCAACAUGAAACAAAAACCUCAACAAGACCAUCAGUGAACUGUGGCUGCACCAUCUGUCUUCAUCUUCCCGCCAUCUGAUGAGCAGUUGAAAUCUGGAACUGCCUCUGUUGUGUGCCUGCUGAAUAACUUCUAUCCCAGAGAGGCCAAAGUACAGUGGAAGGUGGAUAACGCCCUCCAAUCGGGUAACUCCCAGGAGAGUGUCACAGAGCAGGACAGCAAGGACAGCACCUACAGCCUCAGCAGCACCCUGACGCUGAGCAAAGCAGACUACGAGAAACACAAAGUCUACGCCUGCGAAGUCACCCAUCAGGGCCUGAGCUCGCCCGUCACAAAGAGCUUCAACAGGGGAGAGUGUUAGAGGGAGAAGUGCCCCCACCUGCUCCUCAGUUCCAGCCUGACCCCCUCCCAUCCUUUGGCCUCUGACCCUUUUUCCACAGGGGACCUACCCCUAUUGCGGUCCUCCAGCUCAUCUUUCACCUCACCCCCCUCCUCCUCCUUGGCUUUAAUUAUGCUAAUGUUGGAGGAGAAUGAAUAAAUAAAGUGAAUCUUUGCACCU
rnacentral:lncRNA from 1 species